AUUGAACGCUGGCGGCAGGCUUAACACAUGCAAGUCGAGCGAGCGGCGGACGGGUGAGUAAUGUCUGGGAACCUGCCUGCUGGAGGGGGAUAACUACUGGAAACGGUAGCUAAUACCGCAUACCAUCAGAUGUGCCCAGCUGGGAUUAGCUAUUAGGUGGGGUAAUGGCUCACCUAGGCGACGAUCCCUAGCUGGUCUGAGAGGAUGACCAGCCACACUGGAACUGAGACACGGUCCAGACUCCUACGGCAGGCAGCAGUGGGGAAUAUGGCACAAUGGGCGCAAGCCGGAUGCAGCCAUGCCGCGUGUGUGAAGAAGGCCGUCGGGUUGUAAAGCACUUUCAGCGAGGAGGCGUUACUCGCAGAAGAAGCACCGGCUAACUCCGUGCCAGCAGCCGCGGUAAUUC
rnacentral:rRNA from 1 species